UACAUGGUAAUGUACAUCAUAUAUUUUUUUUAGUUUUAUCAUUCUCUUAUUUUAGAAGUUACAGGGGGGGGGGGACACAUUUUACCACUUUGGAAGUGUCUCUCGCGCAAAUUAUUCAGUUUAGAAAAAAAAUAUAUUAGAAACCUCAAUAUCAUUUUUGAAGACCUAUCCAUAGAUACCCCACACGUAUGGGUUUGAUGAAAAAAAAUUUUUGAGCAUUUUAUGACGUAUUAAAAAAAACUACUUACUAGAUCUCGUUCAAACCAAUUUUCGGUGGAAGUUUACAUGGUAAUGUACAUCGUAUAUUUUUCUUAGUUUUAUCAUUCUCUUAUUUUAGAAGUUACAGGGGGGGGGACACACAUUUUACCACUUUGGAAGUGUCUCUCGCGCAAACUAUUCAGUUUAGAAAAAAAUGAUAUUAGAAACCUCAAUAUCAUUUUUGAAGACCUAUCCAUAGAUACCCCACACAUAUGGGUUUGAUGAAAAAAAAAUUUUGAGUUUCAGCGAUUUAUGACGUAUAAAAAAAACUACUUACUAGAUCUCGUUCGAACCAAUUUUCGGUGGAAGUUUACAUGGUAAUGUACAUCAUAUAUUUUUUU